AUAGGUAUGCUGGAAUUGGUAGACAGGUUCCAUUUAGGAUGGAAUGGAUAGUAUCCGUGCAAGUUCGAUUCUUGUUACCUAUA